rnacentral:rRNA from 1 species
GACGAACCGUGCGAACGUUGUUCGGAAUCACUGGGCUUAAAGGGCGCGUAGGCGGGCAUUCAAGUCGGUGGUGAAAUCCUCCAGCUUAACUGGAGAAGAGCUGUCGAUACUGGAUGUCUCGAGGGGUGCAGGGGUCUGCGGAACUUCGGGUGGAGCGGUGAAAUGCGUAGAGAUCCGAAGGAACGCCGACGGCGAAAGCAGUCUGCUGGGGGUGUGCUGACGCUGAGACGCGACGGCGUGGGGAGCAAACCGG